AUCUCACCUGGUCGACUCGUUCUACUACGCGUGGAAUUGCACGGAGAUGAGAGGACGGCAGCCACUCAGACAUUCCGUUCCUCGUACGAACAGGUUUCCUACCGAUUGCAGAAAAAAACUACUUAGACUCAAAUAAUUGUUGGAAGUAUGCUGAACCACAUGGGAACUCGUCGAUCGCGCUAUGAAAAGACCGAAAGUGAUAGUCCCAAAAGACCGUAUCAAUGUUGAUUAAAAAUCGUCGUUUCCACGCAUGCGUCACUCUUAGCCACUAUCAGUCUUAUUCGCCGAAAAUAUAAAUGGACGAAUAUGAUAUGUAAGAAUGAUUAUUUUUAAAAUACUUUUUAGAUAACUUAGAAUGUACAUUAAAAUAUUAUUUGGUAACCAUAUAAUUAGGUAACAUGUAUUUAUUUGAUGUAUAAAAUUAUAUAUACAUCUUUUGUAAAUACUGCGUGAAAUGGUAUCGAAAAAGAUGGUUAGACGAGAUAUUCGAAUAUCAUGGUAAGAAAUUUCACGAUGUACGCCAAAAUUCCCUAGGGGCACUUGGGUCAACAGGAAGUCAAGGCCACGCGGUCAAUUGCCCCGCGAUCCGUCGCCGUUAUAAAUAGAUACGAGCGGCCGGUAUCUACGCAUCUAUUUGCACGCAUGCUGUAAAAUCCGAAUCGGAGUUAUUCCGACCGAAGUAUAGAUGGUUUUUGCUUUCCCUGAACUUUUUUCCUAGCGCGUCUCAGAAACCUCCCAUUGAUAAAGUGGCACGUAAUGAAUGUAUCGAUCGUUGAAUCCCCUAACGCUCUAACUGUUUAUUCCUAUUAAUACCAGUUUAAUGAAAGGAAUGAGUUUCUUUCAGAUAUCCCUUUAUAAAUACAGCCGUCGCCAUUCUAAAUAAAGGACACAAGAGAAAUGGAGAAUCGUGGGCCUCUGGUUUCUAUAUAAGUUAAUAAAUUGAAUAGUCCCAGAAUAAAAUAAAGCAAGGGUUGAAGACAAGCAAAAGAUCAUCUACUUAUUGUUAAAGAAAUUGAAAGUCUUUCUCUCAAUUUUUAUAUUUUAGUACAUUCACUCUGAAUCACUGAUUAUAUGUAACUAGGAAAAACUUGCAAAAUAUGAAAUACAAGAGUAAUCUAUAGUUUCUUAGACUUUUGACAUUAUUAAAGAAAUAACUCACAGUUAAUUUGUCAUUUAAUGCUCUUCUGAAUUCCGCCCCUGUUAUCUUUGCUUUAUAAUACGUGUUUCCGAGAAAUGCAUCGCAUGAUUUCCUCUAUAAUUUACAAACAAGUGAGUUCUUUCGAAAAAAAGGCAGCAUAAUUAUCCGACAUUCAGAAUGUUAUGUUCUGCUAGUAUGUAUUAACACACAAAGAUACGUUGUUGUAAUGAAAUGUCAGAUAUUAUCACAAUACAGAGAGAUCGUGCAGAAGGAAACAGUUCCUAUGAAACAAGAAGAGUACUUAUUGAUCCGGUAGGUAGUGGAUGUAGCGAGCAUGGCUUAUAAAUGCCAUCCGCUACGAAAACUACAUAUAACCGAUGCCAAUACUCUCUUUGACGUGGAAUUAUUAUGCAAGUUAAUUCUUUACGAGAAGGGUCGUCAAAUAAUUCAAUGAAAUAAAUCAAUUAACGAUACGGUCUAUUUUAUAUUCUUAGACGUCGGAAAACGCAAAAGUUGAUAGCAGGAUGAAUUACCUAGAACCAAUGAUUUGGUAUAAUCCUUUGAAAUUCUUAAAUGUAAUACGUACAUAUAUUAAUGGAGUACCUUAAUAUUAAA